rnacentral:rRNA from 1 species
CCUACGGGUGGCAGCAGUCGGGAAUAUUGCGCAAUGGAGGAAACUCUGACGCAGUGACGCCGCGUAUAGGAAGAAGGUUUUCGGAUUGUAAACUAUUGUCGUUAGGGAAGAUAAAAGACUGUACCUAAGGAGGAAGCACCGGCUAACUAGGUGCCAGCAGCCGCGGUAAUACCUAGGGGGCAAGCGUUAUCCGGAAUUAUUGGGUGUAAAGGGUGCGUAGGCGGAAGAACAAGUUGGUGGUGAAAUCCCUCGGCUCAACUGAGGAACUGCAACCAAAACUAUUAACCUUGAGUGUGGGGGAGGAAAGUGGAAUGCCUGGUGUAGCGGUGAAAUGCGUAGAUAUUAGGAAGAACACCAGUGGCGAAGGCGACUUUCUGGACGAUAACUGACGUUGAGGCACGAAAGUGUGGGGAGCAAACAGGAUUAGAUACCCCAGUAGUC